rnacentral:ncRNA from 1 species
GACAGAUGCCAACAUGCCUGAUUUCCAAGCAGGCGCGGAGCGGGCUCAUACACUGAUGCCGCCGGCACUAGCCGGCUCCAACCUGAUUUACGAGGCGG